AGAAACACUGCUGGAAUCUGUUGGCGUGAGUGAAGAUAGAGGAAAUUUGUGGAAUACUGUAACAUCUAAGAAGGGAGCUGAAAUGGCUGAGGGGAAACCCGUUUGCAGUCACAAAGAUGGUGAAGGAUGCAUUGGAGCAAGUGGAAUCAGAGUGACCAGGAGUGGUGGACUCCAAUCAAGUUGUAGAAACAUCUCAAGGAUCAUCAAUGGAAACAGGAUGCACCUGAGCUCAAUUUCGAGUCUCAUAGCAAAGGGUCUGAAUACUUAUGUAAAUAAGGUAUCUGUUUUUAAAUGUUUUAAAUACAUUUCAAAAAACCUGUUUUCGAUUUGUGAUUAUGGGGUAUUGUGUUAAGAUUGAUGAGGGCCAAAAAAUAUUUACUCCAUUUUAGAAUAAGGCUGUAACAAAAUGUGGACCAAGUGGUCUAAUUACUUUCCGGAUGUCCUGUAUUUAUACAAAUUAGGCACAUAUAUUUUUUAUUAUUUUAACAUAACAUAUAAAAACAAUAGUAGAUGUGCUUACCAAGAAAAACUUCCAAAAUGACAAUUUCGAGGUAGAAAGGGAUUGGAGCACUCAACAAAAAAAAUAGAGAUUGAUGAAAAUGAGCUAAAAUAAACCAAUUGUACAGGAUGAAAACAGGUGAUUGAUGUUUCAAUGUCAGUUUGAGGUCAAAAUGUCAGUCACCUGUUCACAUCCUGUACAACGGAUUAAAGUGAGCUAAAAUAAAUCAAUCUCUGCUUUUUUGUUGUUGUUGAGUGCUCCAACUCCUCUCUACCUCGAAUCAGUCCUUUCGGAAGUAUUUCUUGGUAAGCCCUUCUCAUGACUUUUGUCCUUUUUGUUGAGCUCCUUUCCUUUGUUAGCCGAAGCCCAUCUGAAUUAAUUUUAAAAAAUGAUACAAUAAAAACAUACACAGUACCAGUCAAAAGUUUGGACACCUACUCAUUCAAGGUUUUUAUUUUAUUUUACUAUUUUCUAUAUUGUAGAAUACUAGUGAAGACAUCAACACUAUGAAAUAACACAUAUGGAAUUAUGUUGUAACCCCCAAAAAGUGUUAAAAAAUCAAAGUGCUGUCGCAAAAACUAUCAAGCACAAUGAUGAAACUGGCUCUCAUGAGGACCACCACAGGAAAGGAAGACCCAGAGUUACCUCGGAUGAUCUACGCAUGUGUGGUUCCCACCGUGAAGCAUGGAGGAGGAGGUGUGAUGGUGUGGGUGUGCUUUGCUUGUGACACUGUCUCUGAUUUAUUUAGAAUUCAAGGCACACUUAACCAGCAUGGCUACCACAGCAUUCUGCAGCAAUAGCAUCCCGUCUGGGUUACCCUUAGUGGGCCUAUCAUUUGUUUUUCUACAGGACAAUGACCCAACACACCUCCAGGCUUC